rnacentral:rRNA from 1 species
GGAGUUAGCCGGUGCUUCUUCUGUGAGUGAUGUCCUUCCUGCCGGCUAUUAACCCGCAGGCCUUCUUCCUCACUGAAAGUGCUUUACAACCCGAAGGCCUUCUUCACACACGCGGCAUGGCUGGAUCAGGGUUGCCCCCAUUGUCCAAUAUUCCCCACUGCUGCCUCCCGUAGGAGUCUGGGCCGUGUCUCAGUCCCAGUGUGGCUGAUCAUCCUCUCAGACCAGCUACGGAUCGUCGCCUUGGUGAGCCGUUACCUCACCAACCAGCUAAUCCGACAUAGGCUCAUCCGAUAGCGCGAGGCCCGAAGGUCCCCCGCUUUCCCCCGUAGGGCGUAUGCGGUAUUAGCCUGGGUUUCCCCAGGUUAUCCCCCACUACCGGGCAGAUUCCUAUGCAUUACUCACCCGUCCGCCGCUCGCCACCAGGGAGCAAGCUCCCCGUGCUGCCGCUCGACUUGCAUGUGUUAGGCCUGCCGCCACGCGUCAUCUGAACCAAGAUACAAUUACUGA